UACGUAGGGUGCAAGCGUUGUCCGGAAUUAUUGGGCGUAAAGAGCUCGUAGGCGGUUUGUUGCGUCGGCUGUGAAAUCCCGAGGCUCAACCUCGGGUCUGCAGUCGAUACGAGCAAACUAGAGUGUUGCAGGGGAGACUGGAAUUCCUGGUGUAGCGGUGAAAUGCGCAGAUAUCAGGAGGAACACCGAUGGCGAAGGCAGCCCCCUGGGCUGAGAUUGACGCUCAGGCACGAAAAGCGUGGGGGAGCAAAACAGG
rnacentral:rRNA from 1 species